rnacentral:rRNA from 1 species
AUGAAGCUGGAAUCGCUAGUAAUCGCGGAUCAGAAUGCCGCGGUGAAUACGUUCCCGGGUCUUGUACACACCGCCCGUCACACCAUGGGAGCCGGAAACGCCCGAGGCCAGCGGCCCAACCGCAAGGGGGGAGCUGUCGAAGGCGGGUCCGGUGACCGGGGUGAAGUCGUAACAAGGUAGC